GACGAACGCUGGCGGCGUGCUUAACACAUGCAAGUCGAACGGAAAGGCCCUGCUUUUGUGGGGUGCUCGAGUGGCGAACAGGUGAGUAACACGUGAGUAACCUGCCCUUGACUUUGGGAUAACUUCAGGAAACUGGGGCUAAUACCGGGUAGGAGCUCCUGCUGCAUGGGGGGGGUUGGAAAGUUUCGGCGGUUGGGGAUGGACUCGCGGCUUAUCAGCUUGUUGGUGGGGUAGUGGCUUACCAAGGCUUUGACGGGUAGCCGGCCUGGGAGGGUGACCGGCCACAUUGGGACUGAGAUACGGCCCAGACUCCUACGGGAGGCAGCAGUGGGGAAUAUUGCACAAUGGGCGGAAGCCUGAUGCAGCAACGCCGCGUGCGGGAUGACGGCCUUCGGGUUGUAAACCGCUUUCGCCUGUGACGAAGCGUGAGUGACGGUAAUGGGUAAAGAAGCACCGGCUAACUACGUG
rnacentral:rRNA from 1 species